UGAGAGUGUGUUCACCACAUGCCUGCUGCUUUUACAAAUGAGGUAAAAAUGAAUUUGUUGUGAUACUGAGUACUGAGUUUGGUGUGGAGUCAAAGAAACUCUGCUCUCUGACCCUUGCUAAGAGCUGAGACAUCCAAUGGCCUGACUCAUGCUGGCCUCAGGGACUCCAGUUAUCCCUCUCUGUGUCCUAGUGAUGGGAAGGAUCUGAUCAUCAACUGUGGGAACAAAGAGCAGUAACUAAUGUUUAUUUUCUACUUAGGCUGAGCUCCUGCAAGCUAAUUUACACCUUCAUUCUUCACUUGCUUUCCUGGCAGCAGGAUCUGCUUAUAAAGCUCCUUCCUCUGCACUGCUUUCACCCACAAGUCUGAUUGAAUUGCACAUUGCAGAAUGCAGUGUGUGGAGGGCGUGCACAGCACCAGUAUGAGCAGGUGUCCCCCAUGUUGGAUGAGCUGGUGCAGCUGCAGGUGGAGGUGAAAGAGAAAUUCAAAGAGAUACAAACUCAGGAGAUGGGGAAUAUUCAAAUAAUUGACUCAACCACAAAUACAGCAGGAAGAAAAUGACAACCGUGGGGUGUGUGAUGCGUUCCCUGGCUGAUGCCUCUCUGAGCAUGCAAUGGCACUGAGCCACCCGAAAGCAGCAGCGAUGCAGGCGAUGUGACAGUGAAAGGGCAGAUGCUCUGGACGGUAGAGGAUGCUAGAGAAGAGGUAAAUUUUCC
rnacentral:lncRNA from 1 species